UAAUAUUAUAAUUUUAGAUUAAAACUGUGGAAAACUAUAAAAAGUUUCUGACCAAAACAAUGGCAGCAUCAUUACAAAUCAUCUGCUUAAUAACAGCUGCUGUGAGCUUUUUGUCUGUAAUGGGAAACAAGGACAGACGUGUCAACAUUAACUGCUACAACAAACCAGUGAACCAGACCACAUUUCUUGGCGCCUCGGCUACCAUCAACUGCAACUAUACAAGAGUAAAAGAAAGUGGAAUUAAAUCCUUUUGUAGAGAAAUUGCAAGUUCUUAUUGCAAUAAUCUGAUAUCAGCUUAUGACUCAAAUUACACCAGACUAGACAGAUUUUCUCUCAGAGAUGAUAAACAGCAAAGAGUCUACACUGUGAUCAUUUCUGCA